rnacentral:rRNA from 1 species
UGGGGAAUAUUGCACAAUGGGCGAAAGCCUGAUGUAGCAACGCCGCGUGAGUGAUGAAGGUCUUCGGAUUGUAAAGCUCUGUCUUUUGGGACGAUAAUGACGGUACCAAAGGAGGAAGCCACGGCUAACUACGUGCCAGCAGCCGCGGUAAUACGUAGGUGGCGAGCGUUGUCCGGAUUUACUGGGCGUAAAGGGUGCGUAGGCGGAUGUUUAAGUGAGAUGUGAAAUACCCGGGCUUAACUUGGGUGCUGCAUUUCAAACUGGAUAUCUAGAGUGCAGGAGAGGAGAAUGGAAUUCCUAGUGUAGCGGUGAAAUGCGUAGAGAUUAGGAAGAACACCAGUGGCGAAGGCGAUUCUCUGGACUGUAACUGACGCUGAGGCACGAAAGCGUGGGUAGCAAACAGGAUUAGAUACCCUGGUAGUCCACGCCGUAAACGAUGAGUACUAGGUGUAGGAGGUAUCGACCCCUUCUGUGCCGCAGUAAACACAUUAAGUACUCCGCCUGGGAAGUACGAUCGCAAGAUUAAAACUCUAAAGUGAAUUGAC